GAUGAACGCUGGCGGCGUGCCUAAUACAUGCAAGUCGAGCGAAUGGAUUAAGAGCUUGCUCUUAUGAAGUUAGCGGCGGACGGGUGAGUAACACGUGGGUAACCUGCCCAUAAGACUGGGAUAACUCCGGGAAACCGGGGCUAAUACCGGAUAACAUUUUGAACCGCAUGGUUCGAAAUUGAAAGGCGGCUUCGGCUGUCACUUAUGGAUGGACCCGCGUCGCAUUAGCUAGUUGGUGAGGUAACGGCUCACCAAGGCAACGAUGCGUAGCCGCCCGGGGAGGGUGAUCGGCCACACUGGGACUGAGACGCGGCCCAGACUCCUACGGGAGGCAGCAGUGGGGGAUCUUCCGCAAUGGACGAAAGUCUGACGGAGCAACGCCGCGUGAGUGAUGAAGGCUUUCGGGUCGUAAAACUCUGUUGUUAGGGAAGAACAAGUGCUAGUUGAAUAAGCUGGCACCUUGACGGUACCUAACCAGAAAGCCACGGCUAACUACGUGCCAGCAGCCGCGGUAA
rnacentral:rRNA from 1 species